GAUGAAGAACGCAGCGAAAUGCGAUAAGUAGUGUGAAUUGCAGAAUUCAGUGAAUCAUCGAAUCUUUGAACGCACAUUGCGCCCUUUGGUAUUCCUAAGGGCAUGCCUGUUCGAGCGUCAUUUGUACCCUCAAGCUUUGCUUGGUGUUGGGCGUCUUGUCUCUAGCUUUGCUGGAGACUCGCCUUAAAGUAAUUGGCAGCCGGCCUACUGGUUUCGGAGCGCAGCACAAGUCGCACUCUCUAUCAGCAAAGGUCUAGCAUCCAUUAAGCCUUUUUUUCAACUUUUGACCUCGGAUCAGGUAGGGAUACCCGCUGAACUUAAGCAUAUCAAUAAGCGGAGGA
rnacentral:misc_RNA from 1 species